rnacentral:rRNA from 1 species
AUUGAACGCUGGCGGCAGGCCUAACACAUGCAAGUCGAGCGGAUGAAGGGAGCUUGCUCCUGGAUUCAGCGGCGGACGGGUGAGUAAUGCCUAGGAAUCUGCCUGGUAGUGGGGGAUAACGUCCGGAAACGGGCGCUAAUACCGCAUACGUCCUGAGGGAGAAAGUGGGGGAUCUUCGGACCUCACGCUAUCAGAUGAGCCUAGGUCGGAUUAGCUAGUUGGUGGGGUAAAGGCCUACCAAGGCGACGAUCCGUAACUGGUCUGAGAGGAUGAUCAGUCACACUGGAACUGAGACACGGUCCAGACUCCUACGGGAGGCAGCAGUGGGGAAUAUUGGACAGUGGGCGAAAGCCUGAUCCAGCCAUGCCGCGUGUGUGAAGAAGGUCUUCGGAUUGUAAAGCACUUUAAGUUGGGAGGAAGGGCAGUAAGUUAAUACCUUGCUGUUUUGACGUUACCAACAGAAUAAGCACCGGCUAACUACGUG